rnacentral:misc_RNA from 1 species
GCAAACUUGGUCAUUUAGAGGAAGUAAAAGUCGUAACAAGGUUUCCGUAGGUGAACCUGCGGAAGGAUCAUUACAGAAGUGAGUUGUACACAAGGGUGUUAAAAGCCCAAGUGUGCAACAAUAUACACUCCUUAUCCUACCCCUCUCUAUUGUGAACUUUGACGCGAGUUGAAAGGAAGUGCCCCUAUUUCAGAUAGGGGCUCUAACUACUCGUGCUCUUUUUUUACUCUAUACCUUAUGCCAUAUGUUGUUACAAUGAAUGUUGUUGAUUAUGGAUACAAAUGAAAUAUAACUUUCAGCAAUGGAUCUCUUGGCUCUCGCAUCGAUGAAGAACGCAGC